rnacentral:tRNA from 1 species
GAGAGGCAGGGGGCUGGUGCCCCGGCUGGUCUGCAAAACCAGUGCUGGAGCCGGUCUUGUUGGCUCCGGUGGGUUCGAUUCCCACUGCCUCUCUCCA